CGUCUAGGCGGAUUUAUAAGUCAGGUGUGAAAUCCUCCGGCUCAACCGGAGAACUGCAUUUGAUACUGUAAGUCCUGAGUUCGGAAGAGGAAAGCGGAAUUCCUGGUGUAGCGGUGAAAUGCGUAGAUAUCAGGAAGAACACCAGUGGCGAAGGCGGCUUUCUGGUCCGGUACUGACGCUAGAGCGCGAAAGUGUGGGGAGCGAACAGGAUUAGAUACCCUGGUAGUCC
rnacentral:rRNA from 1 species